rnacentral:rRNA from 1 species
GGGUCAGUAGGUUGGUCGUGCCACCGGUACGUACUGGUCUCACUGAUUCCUCCUUCCUGAAGAACCGUAAUGCCAUUAAUUUGGUGUUGCGGGGAAACAGGACUGUUACUUUGAAAAAAUUAGAGUGCUUAAAGCAAGCUAACGCUUGAAUACAUUAGCACGGAAUAAUGAAAUAGGACGAUCGAUCCUAUUUUGUUGGUUUCUAGGAUUGACGUA